ensembl:lncRNA
GGUCCUGGUGAUGAGGCUGGAGAUCAGACCACAGGUCUGGAUCAGCCCUGGUGAGGAUAACCAGGGUCAGACACAGACCCAUCAUCACUGAGGCCAUUAAGUUUUAUUAGUGUCCUCCAGGCACUUCAGCUAGACCUUGCUGUUCCUGUAUGCAAGCAAAGAUGUGCAAAGGAACCUCCAUUGCUGGAUGAUGUCAGAAAAGUACCUUGAAGGCAUCUUCCUGGUCAGCAAAAUAAAUGGGGGAAGUCAACGAAAAAUCCUGAAGAAUAAAGGGAGAAGAAAGUUGAGUCAGACUUUUGCCUCCUCUGGGAUCACAACUGAGCUUCUCUGA